rnacentral:tRNA from 1 species
GGCAUUGCGCCGGGCAUGAACGGAUAACUCUGAUGACGUUAAACACGAGGAGACUCUCCUCCAAUGCCU